UUGCUUCAGCAGCAUGUAUACUAAAAUUGGAACAAUUCAGAGAAGAGUAGCCUGGCCUCUCCACAAGGAUACACUUGUGGAAUACAAGCAUUCCGCAUUUGG